AUGACCAACUGGCCUAGCGCGUUUCCCAGGGAGACCCGCUCAGUUUAUCUGGGACCAUGCUUGCUGUACGAUGACGGGACACGGAGGAAUCUUACGACAGGCGCAGAAGUCGGAUUUCUUUCCCUUUGUCUCCGAAACUGCUUCACCUCCUGCUUUGUAUCAAGAGGAAGGUGCCGUUUCCUUUUCGAGCGAUUACAUUUACCUCUAAGGAAACGCGCAAAAAUCAUGUUCACCGUCCUUGGGUCACGCAGACGAGUUUGUCACUCUGAUGUCUCCGAUUCAGCUUCUCCUACGGCUCCAGAACAGAAAACGCGAUAUAAAACGAGGAAUCCAACAUCCCGGCUGCUGUAUGGCAGGGGCUGUUUUUCGUCACGCGGCGCUGCUCUUCCACUGCUGUAGGUAAUUUAUACAAAGCUUUAAGGCCCUUUGUAAAGACCUUCAUAGUAAACUGUAGGAAGCCCAGGAUAAGCAGAUGGGGCUUCGGCUCUUCCAACUUUGAAGUGAGAAUGUGAAGAAUCUCUCCCCUCCUUUCUCACAACAUGCUUCAGCUGUCCUUCUCCUUCAGCAAGACACCACAACCAGCCAGCUGGACUCCAGGAAUGCCGUAGCAAAGGACUUGGUUUCCUUCUAGUGACAAAAGCGGCCGCCUAAUACGCUCCGGAUUAAAAACAACAGUGGCUACCAUGGCAGAUGAAAACUCGCUGAUUGGGUGGGCCUGGAGAGCCGGGCGGCGCUGACUUCAGAAGUUCUUCCUUCCCCCCCCGGCCACAGCCAAGGGUUUCAAGGUUGUUGAGCCCAGAGCAAGGACGCAGACUCCGCAGCAGCACGGGGAGACAGCUUGUCGUGGGCAGCCGGCUGUCCUAAUUCUCACCCCCCCCUUCCCCGUCACCUCCUUCCUGUUCCACUUCUUCUGACUUUGUCAUUUAUUUCCCAGUGGGUGGGGCGCAGCACAGAAUUUGAUACCCAAACCAAACAAAAGUUGUCUUCGGUUUGGCUAGGUCUCUCUUCUUCUGGGGGGGGGACUGCUUUCUAUUUAAUUGUUUCAGAAACAUCGUCAGGUUAGGGGGGCUGCACGUCAGGGGUGGUUGAUGUGGGUUCCCCUCCUGUACGGAGUUCUCUUUGGGAUCCUUUUAGAUGAAAAGCACCACGUAAAAGCAAGUAAUUAUUAUUCGGACUAUUACUGUAGCACUGCACCUGAAUAAUGAGUGUUGAACCUUCAUAUUUACAUGUCCAAAGGUACAAAAAGGACAGCUAAUCCCCCAGAGGAAAUAAACUCCAAAUAUUUACCUCCAGUGCAGUCGUUAAACUUUUUUUUUCCCCCCAGAUAAGCUUAAGCUUCAUUACUGCCAUACGUUUCCAUUUGCUGAUAAGGCAAGAGGAGUUAUUUUGGAAAUGCAACUUGCUGUACAAGCCAAUGUUAGUUUAAUCCAUUUCUGGAAGUGAUCUGCGGACUUUAAUUAAACGUGGAGCUUCCAGUAUGUUCGGUUACUCGCACUUUGGAAACUUUAGGUUUGGAUUUGGGAGAUAAAUAUUUUGUUUAUUACUUAGAUUAAAAUGCCAGUUUGAAAAAAUGCAUAGACAAUCAUAUUGCUUAAAGAGCUGUGAUAGACAAGUCUCAAUAAUGCACUUCUAUUCUUAUUUGGUCAUUUAUGUAACUGGCUCUCACCCAACAUUUCAAUCAAAAUAAACCCAGGUCAACACGAAUGUUUGAAAUUGUGUGAUUUAUUACAGAUGACAACUGCUUUCCUUCUGGAAUUGCUGGAGCCCAUUUUUUUUUUACAGUUUGGUGGAAUUGUUUAUGUGUAAAUCACAGUUUCUACAGUACAUCUUAACAUAAGAUAAAUAACCCUUUUACCAUUUUCCGGGGACAUAAUUUCAAAUCCUCCUCCCAUUUAAAAUACACUGCUGUACAAUUCAGCAUGAGAAGAAUCGUUAAACGGUCAGAAGUUGAAAGAUGCAUUCAUUUGUCCUGAGAUUAGUAUAAUUUCUUUUUUUUUUCCUAAUCUGGAAAUUAUACCUAAUCCUAAUCUGUUAGGAUUCAUUUGAAAGGCAAACAUACAGACAUACCCAACAGCAAAUGUGAACACUUCUUAAUAGUAUUUCCAGGUCACACCCACGCAGGUCAUCCAUAUAUCUCCUAGCUGACUGAUUUUACAGAGAAAAACAAUCAAAUAAAAGACAAAGUUGUAAAGUCAAAGAUAUCAUUUAAAAGGCGUUUGUUUGCCAGUAACAUUGGUUGACUUUUAUUAGAAAGAGGACCAAAUGCUAAAGCGACUCAAUACAGUGCACUAAUAAAGCCAAUCUUCAGGCAGAUCAAACAAGCUUCACCGCUGUGGUAUCGAGGUGCCGCAGUGGUGCAGUGGUCUAGUUGCUCUGCCUGCACUGUUGUUUUUUUUUAACAAAAAGCCCUGGUGACAAGUUUCAUCCUUACAUUUAAAAAUGUGUUCCUGAAGAUUUGUUGCCAUUACUUCUAUUGUGCUCAGUCAUUUUAGGAAAUUACGCUAAUAGGAUAUGACCAAAGGCUUGGCAUGUUAUUCAAAACUGCCAAUAUUUAGAUCACUCAGCAUUCGUAUGCCAGAAAUAGAUGUGAAUGUCACCUUGGCGGAUUGAAACGUGUCCAUAAACCUCUGGGAACCACUUUAACCCCUGUCUGACAUUAUGCUUUUUACCCUGCAGGUCGCUCAAGGGUUUCUCCAUCUUGUACCCCAAAAUCACCAUUGACUCCUACAGCACAGUUCCGUAGUCAGCCAUUUACACAAGGCAACAGUUAUAGAGCCAGAUAAAUGGCUUUAACUCUUUCACCCUCAUCCUUACUCCCCUGUUCUUCAUGAUCACUUUCAAUUGAAGCGCCAUCAGGACGUCUGCUGCCACCACUGCCCACCACCUCUGUUGUUUUCUUUAAGGCAGUAGAGCUGGUUUCUCUCUGCUCUGCUGCUGGACUGCAUAGAAAUCUACAGUAUGCUCCUUUGCACCAAUGGAUAAGGCUCCUAUCUAUCGGACAGCUUCCCUGGAACAUAGGCAGAGCACUACAGGCCCCAAAACAGCUGAAAGCUCUGGUUGUUUUGGCAGGCAGAUAACAUAAGCACAUCUAGUAACAGUUUGGUUUGCAUCUGCUCUUUGAAGUCUAGAACAGCUUGCAGGGUGUAAGAACAUUGCAGCCCAAACCUCUCACAGGAGAGCUUUCCUCUCUCACACCCUGGCAACCACACAAUGCCUCCUUUUUCCAAAACUUGUAUAGAUCUCUCCACCUCCGGUACAUCUUCCAUGUUUAGGAGGAGUGUAACUGCAGUUUGCUCUGAAUGCCAAUGCAAGGUAUAAACACAAUCUUUGUUCUUCAUGGAACAAAUCCUGAAAAAAACGAGGAGCGAAUGAGUAUUGUUGUUUUUUGAGGCAAAAAUGUUCUUUGUGCAUACUGCAAAGUUGUUUUUCUUCAGACGUAAACACUGUAGAUACAGAACCUGCAAUAACAGACUGGUUUGCUAGGUGAACAGGGUGUGCUGUUUUCAAAAUGCUCCCUGCUUUUUCAUGUCAUUUAUGCAGCAGUUUGAUGUCAAAGAGUACAAAUCUCUUUAUCAAACAAAAAGGACAGACUUGAGGGAAUUAAUACUGGAAUGUACUUACGCACUGAGCUGGUUCAUUCAUUACAGUUUUAACUGACAGCAUCUACUUAGUGACAGAAAGAAUCUUCUGAUCAAAAAUAGCCGGCGUGCUGUGUUUCUAUGCAAAAUGCAUCUGAUUUUUUUUAUUUUC
rnacentral:lncRNA from 1 species